ACAGAUGAUAUUCCUAUGACACCCUAGAUUGUUCUGUUACACAAGGGGUACCAAAGUCCACCCUGAGCUUUUCCUCUGGGAACAGAUUCCAGAUUAUUCCAGACUUAAGACAUGGAGAUAUAUCUUGCUAGAGGUAGGAAGAUGAUAAGAUCAGUUUCUAUAGGUAGAGGAUAAUGUGUCCUAAAACGUAGGUAGAGAUAAGUCUGACAGUGGUUUAGUCAAGAAGGGCCUCUGCUAAUGCUGGAGAGCUCAAGAAAGAAAAGAGCAAUGUUAAGUGAGGCUGUACCCACAGAUCAUGCUCAAGCAAACUCGAACCGUGAGCACAUUUCUCUUAAACAAAGAACGCUUAGAAUAAAAAUUAAAAUUUCCCACAAAUUUCUAACUUUAAAAUAGUUUCCCAAGAUUUCAGUGGUAUCGUAUAUAUGCCCAUAAAAUUUUUUGGAUUACUAUUCCCACAAGUGUAAGAUGAAAGAGGACCUGCCCUCCAUUCUAUCUACUCCCUCUCUGCAAAGGCCAUUUUGAAGAUCUCAGUUUUACUGAAAGGGGUCUGCCACACAUAACUUCCCUGGUGUACCAGCAACAAGUGUUCAGUGGACCAUGGCAACACAGAGAAUGACGGAGGAGAGAAAAUGCCAUGCAGAAGUGAUAGUCAAGAUGAAGAUGUGGCAGAAGAGCAGCCCCCAGUAUAUAUUCAGUGUGUCCUCUGAAGUAACAACCAUCCCAUCUGGCUGAGAAGUGAUGGACACGGCUCCUUAACCACACUGUACCCUCCGUUCUUGGCACCUCUCUACCAGAAAGAUAUCGACAAAUUGGAUGGAAUUCAGAGAACAGCAAGAAAAAUGAUUAAAGAGAUGGAGGCAGUGACUUACGAGGAAAGAUGAAAAGGACUAAAACUGUAUAGCUUGGCAAAGCAGCAACUGAGGUGGCAUAUGAAAACUGUCUACAAGCAUUUGAAGAAUAUAAACACCAAAGAAAGAGAAGGAACUUUUUAGAAUGGUCUGGGGAAUAAGCAGAGCAAGAGGACAGAAUUGAAGAAAGGAGAGAGACAUGCUAAGUUGGGGGCAGGGGCGUUUUCUCAUCAAUUGUAAAUUUUGAUAAAUAACCAAAUUAAGUCUAGAGAGAAAGAGUUGCAUCUCAUGCUUUUAGGUUACAAUCAGUGUUGACCUGCACUGAGAAAAUGGCUUCAGGCUCCUGAAUCCCUUCAACCACCUAUCAUUAUGCUAAGUAUUGAAUAGAGAUCUACGUGGAUAAUAAACAAGAUAUGAACACUGUUGUUUCUAACUAGAGUUUUAAGCCUAAAUCUGUAGAAGGUUUCUAAUCAUGAUGAACUGUCCUGGAACACUUAUGAGCUGUAAAGACACCUUUCGCAUACCUAAGAAGCUAGACUAGGCCAGACGUGGUGGCUCAUGCCUGUAAUCCCAGCACUUUGGGAGGCCGAGGUGGGCUCAUCACCUGAGGUCAGGAGUUGGAGACCAGCCUGGCCAACAUGGCAAAACUCCGUCUCUACCAAAUACAUAAAAAUGAGCCGUGGGUGGUGGUGCAUACCCGUAAUCUCAGCUACUUGGGAGGCUGAGCCAGGAGAAUCACCUGAACCCAGGAGGCAGAGGUUGUAACGAGCCGAGAUCGUGCCAUUGCACUCCAGCCUGGGUGACAAGAGCGAAAAUCCAUCUUUAAAAAGAGAAAAGAAAAGAAAAAAGAAGCUAGACUAUAUUCUAUGUUUCCUUUUUUUCUGGUUCAUACAGUGACUUCCUAUUAUCCUUCUCAAAGUUAUUGCUGCAGAGGAAAGAAGCAUACAUCUUUCACCCACCAGGAAACCCCCAAAGCACCUAUUACUGUAAUAGCCAUGGGAAACAGAAGGCACCUCAAAUAAAGGUAGGGGGAAAAAAUGAAAGAGAUGACUUUGGCCUGUGCCUGUUUGACCUCUGAGAGAUACUUUUUGCAAGAAAUUCUUAAGUUUUGGCCCAAGAAGUGGUCGGUCUUUUAUCCUUCUUUGUGGAGGCCAAAAUGCAAACCAGGAUGAAGAAACCAUCAGUGGCAGUUUGAGGAGGCGGUGGAGGGACUAUCUAGACUCAGUGUAUCACCAACGAAACAUGAGGCCUAUUUCUCUGUGAAGCUAAACUUCAAAAAACAAUCUAAGAGACACAAAGGGAAAAGUGUGACUGCUCUGACAGCAAAAACAAGCAAAUAUCUCCAGAGGGGAUUAAUCCUUCUGCUUCAAAGUGACUAAAACAAAGAAAGCUGAGCCAGCUUCACUGGAAACACCACCUGUCCAUCAGACAAAGAUGAGCUAAUCAAAAGAAAACACUGCCUAUGUGCACGACUCAGCAGCCUGGACAGCUAAUACCAAGGAACACGUUUUCACUAUAAAGAUUCAGCUUUCAAAAUCCAGUUCCCUCUUGUACAGCCACAGCGUUAAAAGGGACCUUAGAGGUCAUCUACAUACAGGCCAAACCCUCAAUGAAUGCCAGUGUUCGCUUUAAGUCCUUCUUGCCCGACUCUUUUCUGGCCUCCGUUCUGUCAGGAUGUUUCCUGUUUUGCAAAACAGCUUUAAUCCUUGAGUAUGUUUAAUUGUUGGAAAACAGUUCCUCAAAUUUGACCCCAAAUUUAAGUCUAAUUUAUGAAGAAAGUUUUGCCUUUGGAGACAGGUUUAAUUUUACUUCCAUGUGGAAAACCUUCAAAUAAAAUGAUGACUAUUGUAUACUCA